UUACUUACAACGGUUGAACGAAAAUAAUAUUCCUUACGAAUAUUGAACGGAAAUAAUAUUCCUUACGAAUAUUAAACGAAUAUAAUCAAUAUUGAACGAUAAUAAUAUUUAUACGAAUAUGAAAAAUAAUUUCUCUUCAGAAUGAAAAAAAAUAAUAAUCCUUACCUCAGAAGAAAACUGGAUACUAGAGUAGUGAGGUAGCAGACU
rnacentral:lncRNA from 1 species